UACAGAGGUCCCAAGCGUUGUUCGGAUUCAUUGGGCGUAAAGGGUGCGUAGGCGGCGCGGUAAGUCGGGUGUGAAAUCUCGGGGCUUAACUCCGAAACUGCAUUCGAUACUGCCGUGCUUGAGGACUGGAGAGGAGACUGGAAUUUACGGUGUAGCGGUGAAAUGCGUAGAUAUCGUAAGGAAGACCAGUGGCGAAGGCGGGUCUCUGGACAGUUCCUGACGCUGAGGCGCGAAAGCUAGGGGAGCGAACGGG
rnacentral:rRNA from 1 species